UACAGAGGGUGCAAGCGUUAAUCGGAAUUACUGGGCGUAAAGCGUGCGUAGACGGUUACAUAAGUCGGGUGUGAAAUCUCGGGGCUUAACUCCGAAACUGCAUUCGAUACUGCCGUGCUUGAGGACUGGAGAGGAGACUGGAAUUUACGGUGUAGCGGUGAAAUGCGUAGAUAUCGUAAGGAAGACCAGUGGCGAAGGCGGGUCCCUGGACAGUUCCUGACGCUGAGGCACGAAGGCCAGGGGAGCAAACGGG
rnacentral:rRNA from 1 species